rnacentral:rRNA from 1 species
UUAAAGUUGUUGAGGUUAAAAAGCUCGUAGUUGAACCUUGGGCCUAGCCGGCCGGUCCGCCUCACCGCGUGCACUGGCUCGGUUGGGUCUUUCCUUCUGGAGAACCGCAUGCCCUUCACUGGGUGUGUUGGGGAACCAGGACUUUUACUCUGAACAAAUUAGAUCGCUUAAAGAAGGCCUAUGCUCGAAUACUCUAGCAUGGAAUAAUA